AUCUAGUAACAGCUGUCUCCCAAGCUCACUUGGCUGGAGAUGGUCAACAGCUAACAUGCUGAGCUGCUUCUCCACUUUGAGAGGCCGCAGCCUCAGGAUCCCAGGUAGAGAAAGUAUUUAUGAAAGAUUAAGAAGAUGGCUGACUCCAUCCAGAUGCCACAGGCCAUGCUGCAGCAGCCACAUGACUGUCACAGACACCUCAGGGAUGGUCGACCCAGGAGUGACCACCAGCGACCUACCAAAAUCAAGGGGCUUUGCUGAUAUUGAGGAGUAUCCAUUCUUUCAAAAUGUGGACUGGGACAUGAUGGAACAAAAGCAGGUGGUGCUUCCAUUUAAAUCAAAUAUCUCUGAGUGAUUCGGUUUGGACAACUCUGAUUCUGAAUUUAUUAAUGAACCUGUUCAGCUCACUCCAGAUGAUAAUGACAUUGUGAGGGAGAUUGAUGGAUAUGAAUUUGCAGGUUUUGAGUAUAUC
ensembl:lncRNA